CCCAGUGGGAGGGUGUGAGAUGCCCUUGGGGAUCCUGAGACUCCAGGGCCUCUGAUCUCUUUCUGCUUCCUGGCUGCUGUGAGGUGAGUGGCUUCCUCUGCUGUGCAUUCCCGCCAUGAUGCUUCUGCCUUGCCACAGACCCAAAGACAGAGAGGCCAAGCAGCCGUGGACAUGAGCCUCUGGGAAACGAGUUUAAAGACAUUAAUUACAUCCAUGCCCCGAGACUGUGGGAAGCCCAGGUUAAAGGCUAUGGACCAGUUGAUUUCAAGGCAGCAGUGCACUCAGGCAGUGGCAUGUGAAUUACGGGCUGCUUUUAGCCAAGUCAGAACCAGCUAUGAGGAGGAGCAGUGACACCUUUGGGAAACGUGCAGCUUGGCCAGAAAAGCAGUGUGCUUCUGGAGUGCCAGAAAGAUGCCGCUAAGGAGGGGGCACUUGCUAAAGAGAUUAGUGCUCCUAGGAAGAAGCUGUGUCCUCUGAACCAAGACAACAGGAAGGAUGUCUCAUGCAUCUCGGGAACAGAGGCUCACAGCUAAGAGUUUGCCAAGAGUCUCAGAGGAGACUUUGGAUUUGGACCUUUGAGCCGGCGCUGGAACUGUUGAGACUCUGGGGCCUCUGAGAGGGAUUGAGUACAUUUUGCAAGGUGAGAUG
rnacentral:lncRNA from 1 species